ensembl:snoRNA
CGACGUCGGUUCCUCUUCCUGUGUGCAGCGUAUCAGGAGGAUUUUACGACGUCGCAGAUCAACGGGUCUGUUUCACCCUCAGAGCUGCAGUCUGAACCCAGACACACUCACAGCGCUGGGGUUUUUGCGGGACCCGACACAC